rnacentral:rRNA from 1 species
GACGAACGCUGGCGGCGUGCUUAACACAUGCAAGUCGAACGAUGAAGCCGGAGCUUGCUCUGGUGAAUUAGUGGCGAACGGGUGAGUAACACGUGAGUAACCUGCCCUUGAUUCUGGGAUAACUGCGGGAAACUGUAGCUAAUACCGGAUACGACCCUCGGAGGCAUCUCCUGGGGGUGGAAAGAAUUUCGGUCAAGGAUGGACUCGCGGCCUAUCAGCUAGUUGGUGGGGUAAUGGCCUACCAAGGCGACGACGGGUAGCCGGCCGGAGAGGGUGACCGGCCACACUGGGACUGAGAUACGGCCCAGACUCCUACGGGAGGCAGAAGUGGGGAAUAUUGCACAAUGGGCGGAAGCCUGAUGCAGCAACGCCGCGUGAGGGAUGACGGCCUUCGGGUUGUAAACCUCUUUUAGCAGGGAAGAAGCGAGAGUGGCGGUACCUGCAGAAAAAGCACCGGCUAACUACGUGCCAGCCGCCGCCGUAA